rnacentral:rRNA from 1 species
CCUACGGGUGGCAGCAGUGAGGAAUAUUGGUCAAUGGACGAGAGUCUGAACCAGCCAAGUAGCGUGAAGGAUGACUGCCCUAUGGGUUGUAAACUUCUUUUAUAUGGGAAUAAAACGUUCCACGUGUGGGAUUUUGUAUGUACCAUAUGAAUAAGGAUCGGCUAACUCCGUGCCAGCAGCCGCGGUAAUACGGAGGAUCCGAACGUUAUCCGGAUUUAUUGGGUUUAAAGGGAUCGUAGGGUGAUUUGUAAGUCCGGUGUGAAAGUUUGCGGCCCAACCGUAAAAUUGCAGUUGAAACUGGCAGUCUUGAGUACAGUAGAGGUGGGCGGAAGUCGUGGUGUAGCGGUGAAAUGCUUAGAUAUCACGAAGAACUCCGAUUGCGAAGGCAGUUCACUGGACUGCAACUGACACUGAGGCUCGAAAGUGUGGGUAUCAAACAGGAUUAGAUACCCGAGUAGUC